AGGGCACCACCAGGAGUGGAGCCUGCGGCUUAAUUUGACUCAACACGGGGAAACUCACCCGGCCAGGACACAAUAAGGAUUGACAGAUUGAUAGCUCUUUCUUGAUUUUGUGGGUGGUGGUGCAUGGCCGUUCUUAGUUGGUGGAGCGAUUUGUCUGGUUAAUUCCGAUAACGAACGAGACUCUAGCCUAUUAAAUAGACGAUAUAUUAUUAGUUUAUCGAGCUUCUUAGAGGGACAGGCAGCUUCUAGCUGCACGAGAUUGAGCAAUAACAGGUCUGUGAUGCCCUUAGAUGUCCGGGGCUGCACGCGCGCUACAAUGAUAAUAGCAGCGUGCAUUAAAACCUUUUCUGGUAAGAAUUGGUAAACACGAAAUAUUGUCGUGCUUGGGAUAGGGGAUUGAAAUUAUUGCCCUUAAACGAGGAAUUCCCAGUAAGUGCGAGUCAUUAGCUUGCGUUGAUUACGUCCCUGCCCUUUGUACACACCGCCCGUCGCUGCCUAGAACUGAGCCAUUUCGAGAAU
rnacentral:rRNA from 1 species